CGGAGCGUGGCGCAGUCCGGUUUAGCGCGCAGCGUUCGGGACGCUGAGGCCGUGGGUUCAAAUCCCACCGCUCCGACCA
rnacentral:tRNA from 1 species